rnacentral:lncRNA from 1 species
CACAUCUGUGCAGACCCAGUUCCCAAACAAGGUCACGUCUCAGGUACCCAAGGUUGUGUCUUUUGCAGUCCACACCAGGCAGUCACUGGAGGGUGUGCAAGAGCCUGAGAUGUCCCCAAGGCCAACUUCACCAUCUGAUCCUGAGUUCCACCCACUUGCUUAGAGUACGACAUUCUGGGCGACCAAGCUCCGAAGGAUCACAUAGAAAAGGGAACACCACCGAAGACUUCCGGGGAGACUUAGGGAAGCCGAGGUAAAGCUGACAUUGGAUUAUUGGGGAAUCUCAGGCAGAGGACAACAAGUUGAAGACUUUGAUGUUACCUAACAUCUACAGUGGAGCUACUG